GUCUACGGCCAUACCACCCUGCACAUGCCCGAUCCCGUCUGAUCUUGGAAGCUAAGCAGGGUCGGGCAUGGAUAGUACUUGGAUGGGAGAAAAACCAGACAGUGCAGGAU
ensembl:rRNA 5S_rRNA 5S ribosomal RNA